rnacentral:lncRNA from 1 species
GUCUCAUUCAAUAGCCAGAAAGGCAACGGAAGCAGGCAUGGUGAAGUACUUAGAGCUUGGUCAGACACUGGGGAUGCCAUGGUCGUCCAUGGUACUCCGGGCCAUUGCCAGUCAUCCUGACUUCUGUCUUGUCACUGUACUUAGAAGACCGCAAGAGAGACUAAGGCUGAUCGCUUUGUACAACUCUGCCUCACCGAAAUCCAGGAAUGUCACUGAUCCUCUUAGAAAUGAAAGAUGACACGUCCUUCAUAUUUGUUCAAUUGUUCAGCUGAAUUGAGCUGAAUUGCCCAGAAGUUGUUAAGAGACUCAACCCUACAGCUGAAGAUGACGUUGUUCUGAGUGCAUGCCUCUUGGAAAAGAUCUACAAUCACUCCCAGAAGUCUAGCUAAUCCAUCCACACAGGAAAGACCAAAUGGAUGAAGAUAAUGUCAGUGUGCACCCCACAGAGGGAAAUAGAAAGGCCCAUAGUGGGUGCAAGGAGAAAUACAAAAAAAAAAGAAAUCACUGGAAGCAUCAAGGUCACUAGAGACCCCUUCAUCCCACAACACAUCAUCAUUGAUGAUGAUUCUUGGGAAGUAUGGGAUUUCACCAAAAAUACAAGAAGACCCCAAUGGUGGGUGUGUGAAUUUGUCCAGAACUCUGGAUCUACUGUAGAAAAAAAUAUUCUCCAGCUACUCAGAUUGUCAUGAAUGGGAGAAGGAAAAUGAAGAUGGCUCUGACCUUGUGAGCUUGGAAAGGUGAAGAGAAUAAGCCACAAGAGGUCCAGGAGAUGUUGCAGCCAGCCAACUCAGUAUCAAGGUCUUAAAGCAUACGUGAGACCUUUGGGACACAACCCAUCAGUAACCGAGACUGGACACAUCCAGUAGCCAUAAACUUGGUGGGACCAAUGCUACACAGAAACUGAAUUAAGUCUGAAUAAACUCUCCCAAGAGAUCA